AAAAAAUUACCAGUUGAGACCCACAGGGACCAUUACAGUUUCCAUUAAAACUAAUACAAUGCCCAUUAUAAUCAUUACAAAUUCUGUUAGGGUUUCUAUAGUUUUUUUCAGCUGGGAAGAGUGAGGAGGCUAUCCGCCCACAGUACGUCUGCCCAGACAUGGUUGCCAGAUUGAGCUUACUUGAUUUUGCUAUUUAUAAAAUGAAAAAUGAAAUGGGACAAAUUUUAUGGUUGAUAAUUUUGUCUAGGCUUCAUUUGGUUAUUAUAAAUUGGGAUAGUUUAGCGUAAAUUGGACGGGUUUUAAAUUAUCCCCACUGUUUUGGAAGCAAGUCAAGGCAACCCCGAUGAAAUGAAACCAAAAAUUAUCGGUACACGGCCACGUUCACUUUUAAACACCCGACCAGUUUUUGACACUGCUUUUUGAGAAAUGGCCUCCACAGUGACCACAGAUGCUCAUGGAGUCAGGGUGGUGACCCAGGUCAUUCCUCUGGUGAGUCCAGAGACUGUCCAGUGUCCCGGUCAGAACAAAGACAGCAAGACUAAAGUACCUGAAGCCCCGUACAUGACCAGGAUGUUCCUGAAGGGAGAGCCUGUAGCAUUAGGGACUGUGCAGAUCAUGAUUGGGAUCGUGAUGAUAGCUUUGGGAGCAGUUACUUGGUUCACACAAAUUCUGUAUGGUGAAAUCCCUCUGGGCCUUGGACUAUCAUUUAUCUUCUCUGGAUCUGUAACCUUGGGUGCACACAAGGGAACCUGUCCUCCAAUUAUUAAAAGCACAAUUGCCCUGAACAUCAUCAGUGCUGUACUUGCCAUGUCCGGCAUCUGCUACUUCUGCUUUGCACUUGCCAUAAAAGCUCAUUUGGAUGCUUGUAGUGAUGAUCAUGAGAAAAAGUUCUACUACACCGGCUACUAUGACUGCCAGUUUGCAGCUAGGCGUCUGCAGAACUUAAUAAGCGGAAUAAAGGGCAUACUUUUGAUUUUAUCCGUGCUGGAGGUGUGCGUGUGUACCACAACUGUUGUCUUUUCCUGCAAGGCCAACCUACAUGCAUCUGGGACUAAAAUGGUAAGACUUUCAGAAGGCUAGCUGAUGGUUUAUCUUACUUCUUCUGUCACUCAGCAGUCUGACUCUCUUUUAAUGUGUAAUAUAAGUUUUUUUUUAAAUUAUGAUUGUAGUAAAUUUCUUCACCUAAUAUUCUCCAAUGAUAUAUUUAGAGCUGUAACUAAUGAUUAUUUUCAUAAUCGAUUCGUUGGCCAAUUAUUUUUUCGAUUAAUCUGACGGGGGGGGCAAACUUUCAGUACCAUUUUUUUUCAUUUAUUUAAAAUAAAAUCCACAAACUGAGUGUUAGAAAUAUAAACUUCAGACUAAAACUUUACACAACCGUUUGCCCAAUUAGAUAAGACUGAAAAGAACCCAAUACACACAGACACACUCCAGAAUAUAUAUUAUUCAUUUAGGACUGUAGUUUAAUUCAGUGCUUUUUCUGCAUCCAUAAAAAGUAAUGCAUAAAUAUUUAUAUAUAUUAUAAACUAAGUUUAUAACUAAAUGUAUAAACAGUAAACUGAUGAAAUUGAUUGAUUAUCGGUGACUCUGGGUAUCUGCUAAAGCAAGCGGUGUCAUAUUGCGUGCGUAUGAUGUCAUGCGUGUUCCAUUUGAGAUGAUAUUACCUUUCUAAAAUUCACACGCUACAUGGUAGAGUACACAGUGUAUAGUGUAAUUGUAUAGUAUGUCAUUUGGAACACAAAUUUAGUAUUUACUCUCCAAUGGGUGUUUUCUGAACAGAAGUAACGUAGUGAGUAAAUGUACCCCGUACCGCGCGCAGACCAAGUAAUCGAUAAUGAGAUUCGUUGACAACGAUUUUCAUAAUUGAUUAGUAUCAAUUUUAUCGAUUAGUUGUUGCAGCUCUAGAUAUAUUUUGCACUCAGAAUUGAUAAGUCCUUUUGGGGCGCACGGUGGCUUAGUGUUUAGCACGUUCGCCUCACACCUCCAGCGCCCUGGGUUCGAGUCCCGCCAGGGCCAUGUGUGUGCGGAGUUUGCAUGUUCUCCCCGUGAGGAGGAGAUGAGGGGGUUUCCUCCAGGUACUCUGGUUCCUCCACCAGUCCAAAGACAUGCAUGGUAGGCUGAUUGGCAUGUCUAAAGUGUCCGUAGUGUAUGAAUGGGUGUGUGUGUGAGUGUGUAUGUGAUUGUGCCCUGUGAUGGAUUGGUACCCUGUCCAGGGUGAAAAGGAGUAAGCGGUAGAAUAUGGAUGGAACUCCUUUUGGAUGGAUUAGUAUGAUUUAUAUAAGUUGAUAUACUGAUCAGUGCUGUGAAAAAGAUUUCUUCUGUUUUUGUAUAUAUUCAUAUUAAAUAGUUUUAGAUCUUCAAAUGAAAUACAAUAUAAAACAAAGUCAACCUGAGUAAACGCACUAUACAUUUUUAUUUAUUCUUUUUUUUAUUGAAGCCAAAUAAAAAGAGAUCCAACACCUAUCACUUAUGUGAAAACUAAUUGCCCCCUUAAACUUAAAAUCUGGUUGUGCCACCAUUAGCAGCAAUAACUGCAUCCAAAUGCUUCCGAUAAUUGGAGAUCAGUCUUUCACAGUGCUGUGGUGGAAUUAUGGUGGAACUAGAAUGACUUUUUUUCUCAAUAUAUCAUGACUUUAUUCACCAAAUACUCUAUUUUUACUUUACAAACAGUGGUCCUAAAAUGUCAUUGUACAUAGUAGUGUUUACCCUGCCCUAACACACCAAUGCAAAUCACCAAUUUGGAUAAGAUUAUACAAUGAGAAAAACAGCUAAAUAUGCAGCAGCAGGUACAGGAUCAGGACGUCAGGAACUAAGCAACUUUUAGGAAUGUUUAUGCUAAAGGUCUAGUCCAAGACCUUGUGUUGUUCUACUUAAGGAAAGUUUCCAAACUCAUGGAAAUAUGUCUAUAAUCAGGGUAGUUGGGGUUAUUUCUAUUUGCAAGUUCAUACAUAUUUAACAUUCCCUGCAUUGUAGAGAUGCUUCUAGCCCAUUAACAUGUUUUUUUUUUACAUUACACGUUAGGGUGUAUUCCAGCCUUGUGCCCUGUGUUUCAAUGAUAGACUCCACCGUCACCCUGACCAGGAUAUAAUGAUUACUGAAGAAGAAUGAAUACAUGGAUUAUCCACUCUAACUACAUUUGUUAAAAUGUAGCUAAAACUACACCAUCUUGCCAUAACUUUCCUCCUUCCAUAAAACAUAUUGACAUCUACCUAAAAAUACAUCUCAGUUAUGUUCACUGUAACCAAGAUUAUGCACUUCAUAUAUUUUCCCUAAUAAGCUGUUGUCAUUUAUGCAUAAUACAUAGUUUUUAAUCAAUUAUUAUUCAACAUGUAAAGCAUUUUUGCCUUAAACAUCAUAAGGAAUCAGAAAUGAUUUUUACAAAAUGACUUUGUAUGGUAGGUAAGUAUGUGCUUACAUUGCUGUGAUUUGAUGUGUUGCAAAUGCUAGCAGUUGUUGUACAUGUUGCUUCAGUAAUCAAACAGUGUACUUAUCUGGCAGGGGGAAAAAGUUUGGAUUGGAUAAAAGACAGUCUAUGUAACUUUAUAAAAGUGAAAAGCAAAUGUUGGGACGAUUUUAAUUCAUAAAACUGUCUGCUUUAGAGGGUUAAGCAUCCAGGGAUAUGCAUUAUUCCAUCACACACAUUAGAUCAGAUUACAUAUUGAUAGUAAUACUCUAUUAGAGCUCAAAAUUGUGUUUAAUAAUUGUAUUGAAAAAUUUCAUGAGUUUUGUGUAAAUACUGCAUGGUUUACAGGUGUCAGUAGAAAUAAAAUCCCUAUCAGUGAAAGUAGUUUAUCCGGUCAAUAAUCAUUGCAUUUCUAACCCUGUGUAUAACGUGUCAUAAAACUACAGAGUUGAUAUGCAUGCCACAUUACUGUUGUUUGGAUUGCAGGAUGCGGUGGUGGUGCAGGGAAGAUGCAGCAGCCAAGAAGCUCUGCUGAACAGUGAAUUGGCUUCACCUCCAGCCUAUGAGCCUUGAGUGAACCCAUCCUAUGAAAGCAAUUUAUGGUUUAGAGUACAGUAUAGUAUAACAUAGUUUAAAGUAGUGCUUGCACCUUUUAGACACUAAUGUAAGAGUCUCAGAUAUUACACUUAAUUUUUUUCAUGUAUUCUGCUUUUGACGUUGCACCUUUGCACAAAUUUAUGCCACAUUGAAAAUGCCUGCAGUUAUACUGAAUACUUGUAUUCUUCAAUAAAUGCUAAAGUGCACUUAUUACCUGUGUGUGCCUCUUAUCGCUGUACGAUUUAGUGACACAAUUCCCAGUGAAACUGAGCCAUAGAUUGAUCUUCACAGCAUAGUAGUGGGGUGAGGCAAUACCUUUUGCCCACUUGCUGUGUCUGCGUUUAGUGCAUGUCCUUUUCACACACAGACUGAAACAGUGUCGGCUCUUUAACAUCAUAUUACCUUCUCCUUCUCCUCCCACACCCACGACGUAGCACACUAGUGUCAAUACUCUCCAGCAGUGGGUCUUCUCUACUUGCUGCAGUCUGCCACACCACAUUCUCAACUGCGCUCUUCAGCCCCUCCAAAGCGUUUAGAUAAUUCAUGCUCCGGUGAAACAUACCUCACAACACAGCUCUUAGAGUCGAGAUUGCUCUAGAAUACGGAGGUAUUGAGCUCGCCCUCAUUCGGCUGUGUCCGGAUUGCCUCGCCUCAUUACAUUAAGAGUGCUGCAGCGGUUUGGACCCCUCCUCGGUUUGUCAACACCGCCUCUGCACAACUCAAGGUAUGGCUUAUUCAGAUUCAUGAACUGCAUGCAAAGGCAAUCGGAGCAUUUUUAUUGCGAUUGUUUUAACUUUAAGAUGGAGCGAAUGCGCGCGUGUGUGAUGCGGUUCAGUCCCAGACUGGGAUGCUGUCAUCUUGCUGUGCUGAAUAAUGUCGUGUCGCUGACUGUGUUUGGCUCACACAGAGCACCAUGUCGCUGUACCCGUCUCAGAUUAAGGCUUUCAAGAGCAGCGAGCCCAAAACCCUUGGGGCAGUGGAGAUCAUCAUUGGGUUGCUGACGGUCAUUCUGAGCACGAUUGUGUAUAAACUGCACUACCACAUCCAGCGGGAGGUCAUCAUCCUCAUCCUGAAUGGUGCUCAACUCAUUAUCACUGGAAUUGUCUUGGUGCAUACUGGUAGGAGACCAUCUAAAUGUCUGGUGGGUACAACCAUUGUUUUGCAGUUGCUAACCGCAGCAUUUGAUAUUGUCGGAUUUGGUCUCAUAGCCCGACAUGUGCCCUUUCGUGGGGAAUCCUACUAUUACAGAGACACCGAGUUCCUGGUGAAUGGCAUUUUGGGCACCUUGAUUGGUUUUUUGGUAUUGGUGUGUAUUAUCGGUUUGGUUGUGGCACUUUUUGGAGUGUAUGCCCUAUCUGUUAGUGCUAUUAAGGAGAUGACACCUAUUCCUACCUCCACUGCAAACGCACAGUACGGUGCCGGAGGACAGGCCAGGACUAAUGUGCGUAAUGGGAACUGACCGAACAAAAUCUCUCACAGGAUAAGAUCAAUGGUUUUAGCACAGUUUCAUACCAAUCAAAAGAAACAACUGUUUCAACUCUAAAUCACACACAAUUCAAACAAAAACUUUUGUGACAAUGUAAAUAAUUUGUAAACAAACAAACAAAAAAAAACAACUGUUAGGUCGUUACUUGGCUGUUUUCUCACGCUGCAGUGAAUUUUGAUGGCUAAAUAGUUGCUAGGACUUCAUUCAUUUUGCACUAAUAGACAAGUUUGUUUGCAUGAAAAUACUUUUGUAGUGUCAGUAAUGAGCAAGCCAUAGACGUGAAUGCUGUAAGAUUGUACAGAAAUGUAGGUAGCAAUUCUUUUUUUUUAAUAUGCUAACCAAUUUGCAAAUUAGACAGAUUAUCAGUCACAAAAUACAUGUUUGUACUGGACUACAACUGCUUUCAAAACAAAGAAAGAAAUAUGAGAGAUGAUGUAUAAUAUAGUAUAUUAUUAAUGCAAGUCUGUGCUGGGGUGCUGUAGAACAUCAUUUGCAUGAAACAUUAGUCAAAUUCUAAGGCUAGUAAUGAGAGAUAAUACUGAACAACAUUUAUUAAGCUUUUCCUCAAAAAAACAUUGGGUUCAAAAGAAUCUACCAAGGAAUCUAUCUGGCCAACUCAAACAAAAACCUUAAGAUUACACACUAGCAAUAUAUAAUGAACACUAGUAAUGUCAGUGUAUUUGUAAUAUUUGCAUUUACAUUUUUAGGCAACCAGAGUUGACAGACUUUACAAAAGAAUGAAAGCUUGAUAAAUAUUGCCCAGAGUACACAUGAAAGUAAGGAUGUUUCUAAUGUGGGAGAACUGUGUCAAGAUCAUCUAAGUGUUAACAAAUGAUUGGCAUUGCUUGGCUUUUUUUGUCAUCCUAUUUUAUAUUUACUGAUACUUCAGGAAAGCUAUGAUGACUGCCAACUCUGUAAGUGCCACCACUUGUGACCAAAAUUAAUGGACACUAACAACAAAAAGUAAGAGGUUGAAGCCUCACUUAAGGGCUCAGCCGGUGUAAUCUCCUCUUGUGGAAGCAUGUUAUCAGUUCACAGUACUGUCUGUGUCAGUGUGUCAUUGCCUUUACAACAGCAUGUCAGAUUUACAUUUUGCCUGUAUUCUUCAACUUCUUUAUAUGUAGUGAUGGAAAAUCAUAGACAGUGUCAUGCGUGUUUAUGUAUGAUUGAUGUUUAAAAUAAACAUGAUUUGCUAGACAAACAGCAAUGGAAUAUUUUCUGCAUUAAAAAGUGUAAAUAAAGGAAAGUGCC
ensembl:lncRNA